rnacentral:rRNA from 1 species
GAGGUGGAGCUAAUCCCUAAAAGCCGGUCUCAGUUCGGAUUGGGGUCUGCAACUCGACCCCAUGAAGUCGGAGUCGCUAGUAAUCGCAGAUCAGCAACGCUGCGGUGAAUACGUUCCCGGGCCUUGUACACACCGCCCGUCAAGUCACGAAAGUUGGUAACACCCGAAGCCGAUGGCCUAACCACCUUGUGUGGGGGGAGUCGUCGAAGGUGGGACUGGCGAUUGGGACUAAGUCGUAACAAGGUAGCCGUACCGGAAGGUGCGGCUGGAUCACCUCCUUUCUAAGGAG